rnacentral:rRNA from 1 species
GCUAAGGUAGCAUAAUCAUUUGUUAUUUAAUUGGUAACUGGAAUGAAAGGUUAAACUAGUUUAUUAAGUUUGUGUGGCUAAAUAGGAGUUUAAAGUUAAGGUAAGAAUUCUUUAAUUUUUUAGGGGACGAUAAGACCCUAGAAGCUUAACGAGUGGUGGUUUUGUUUUAUAAAUUUGUUUGUUUUACUGGGGCGGUAAAAAUAAUUAAGCUAUUUUUUAUUUAAGGGAUCCUUAAAAUAAAGAAAAAAUGGAGAAGUUACUCUAGGGAUAA